GAUCCUGGCUCAGAACGAACGCUGGCGGCACGCCUAACACAUGCAAGUCGAGCGCACCUUCGGGUGAGCGGCGGACGGGUUAGUAACGCGUGGGAACAUACCCUUCUCUACGGAAUAGCCUCGGGAAACUGAGAGUAAUACCGUAUACGCCCUUCGGGGGAAAGAUUUAUCGGUGAAGGAUUGGCCCGCGUUAGAUUAGAUAGUUGGUGGGGUAACGGCCUACCAAGUCUACGAUCUAUAGCUGGUUUGAGAGGAUGAUCAGCAACACUGGGACUGAGACACGGCCCAGACUCCUACGGGAGGCAGCAGUGGGGAAUCUUAGACAAUGGGCGCAAGCCUGAUCUAGCGAUGCCGCGUGAGUGACGAAGGCCCUAGGGUCGUAAAGCUCUUUCGCCAGGGAUGAUAAUGACAGUACCUGGUAAAGAAACCCCGGCUAACUCCGUGCCAGCAGCCGCGGUAAUACGGAGGGGGUUAG
rnacentral:rRNA from 1 species